AGAUCUGCUCUAGGCAUUAUUUUGGGGAACUUCUGUGGCCUUGUUAUACAGGAGGUCAGACUAAAUGAUAUCAGUGGCCCUUUCUCUUGCAAUC